AAGCCUACGGGGGGCAGCAGUAGGGAAUCUUCCACAAUGGGCGAAAGCCUGAUGGAGCAACGCCGCGUGGGUGAAGAAGGCUUUCGGGUUGUAAACUUCUUUUAAGAGGGAAGAGCAGAAGACGGUACCUCUUGAAUAAGCCACGGCUAACUACGUGCCAGCAGCCGCGGUAAUACGUAGGUGGCAAGCGUUGUCCGGAUUUACUGGGUGUAAAGGGCGUGCAGCCGGGAAGACAAGUCAGAUGUGAAAUCCCGCGGCUCAACCGCGGAACUGCAUUUGAAACUGUUUUUCUUGAGUACCGGAGG
rnacentral:rRNA from 1 species